rnacentral:rRNA from 1 species
AGAAUGAACGCUGGCGGCAGGCCUAACACAUGCAAGUCGAGCGCCUCGCAAGAGGAGCGGCGGACGGGUGAGUAACGCGUGGGAACAUACCCCUUUCUACGGAAUAGCCUCGGGAAACUGAGAGUAAUACCGUAUACGCCCUAAUGGGGAAAGAUUUAUCGGUGAGGGAUUGGCCCGCGUUGGAUUAGGUAGUUGGUGGGGUAAUGGCCUACCAAGCCGACGAUCCAUAGCUGGUUUGAGAGGAUGAUCAGCCACACUGGGACUGAGACACGGCCCAGACUCCUACGGGAGGCAGCAGUAAGGAAUCUUCCACAAUGGACGAAAGUCUGAUGGAGCAACGCCGCGUGCAGGAUGACGGCCUUCGGGUUGUAAACUGCUUUUAUAUGGAAGAUUAUGACGGUACCAUAUGAAUAAGGACGGCUAACUACGCGCCAGCAGCCGC